rnacentral:rRNA from 1 species
AUGCGACAAUGCAUCGAUGGUUAUGUGGACGACGGGGUCAGGGACAUGCUAGAUGAUGUCAUUGCUGCAGAAACGGCACAUGCAACACCUUCAGAGAAUGAACCGGAGGAGCCGGAGGCAACCGCAAAGGCCUUCUUGGAGGUCUUGGCCUCGUCGAAGAAACCUCUUUAUGCGGGUGCAAAAAUAUCUCAGUUGGAUGCCAUCUCACAAUUGAUUGCAGUCAAGGCUGAGUACGGUUGUAGCCAGAAAUGCUUCGAAGCAUUCUUGGGAGUAUGGGCUAACAGCCUCCCUGAGGGUCAUGAACUGUCGAAAAGCAUGUAUGAUACAAAGAAAAUCAUAAAGGCACUCUCUAUGGAUUAUGAGAAAAUAGAUGUUUGCCCGAAGAAUUGCCUUUUGUUUAGGCAUGAGUAUGCGGAUGACAAGUACUGUAGGCAGUGUGGUUCGUCUCGGUACAUUGAGGUGGUCGGUGAGGAUGGUGAGAAAAGGAAGCUAGCCAUCCCCGUUAAGGUUCUUCGGUAUCUUGAUUUUACAAAAAGACUACAGCGCCUUUUCAUCACGGAGGAGUCUGCCAAAAUGAUGAAGUGGCACAAGGAAGGUAUAACGUACAAUCCAAAAAAAAUCGUACAUGCAUCGGAAGGGGAAGCAUGGAAGUCGUUCGAUGAAGAAUACCCCGAGGAAGCAGCCGAGGGUGGGAAUGUCAGAAUAGCCAUAUCAGGUGAUGGGUUGAAUCCAUAUGGUACGUGUUCAAUCCAUACAGUUGCUGGCCCGUGUUUGUAA